rnacentral:rRNA from 1 species
CGCGUAGGCGGCCUGCUAAGUCUGGGGUGAAAGUCCUGCUUUCAAGGUGGGAAUUGCUUUGGAUACUGGUGGGCUGGAGUGCAGGAGAGGAAAGCGGAAUUACCGGUGUAGCGGUGAAAUGCGUAGAGAUCGGUAGGAACACCAGUGGCGAAGGCGGCUUUCUGGACUGAAACUGACGCUGAGGCGCGAAAGCGUGGGGAGCAAACA